UCGCCCUUCCUUCUCCUCCACUGCCUCCUUGUUCAUCGGAUGCGAAGACAGCCUUCAAAGCCCAAUUUUCAUGAGCUUCUGCGAUUCCUUCUACGAUCUCUUCAGUUCCAUCAUCACAGUAUCAGAUCGAUGAGUUUAACCUUCUACUCCAUGUCCUUGAUCUCUUCUCUAAUUGAUUUUUUGGAUUUCAGAAUGUGAUGACUGGCCUAAGAUGAUAUAAGUACAUGCGAAAUCUUGGCAUCCUCACUUUUGGGAUCCUUAAAAGACCAAUUCUUGGUUGAUUGCACUCUGAUCUUCUCCUCGCUCAUGGAAAAUGGGUUAUCUUCUUCUCCAACUUCGAUGUCCAUUUUUCAUGUAAGAUUCAGAAGCUCUAUAAUGAGCUGCCACCAUUGUCAUCACUCCAGAGCCGGAUUCGCAUAUAGAAUAAAAAGGUGGAUUUGUGAUAUGUGGUGAAGAGAUGAAGGUAUAUAGUGAAGUAGAAGGGUGGUAUAGUGGUGUUACAGCUGUAGUAGUGCAAGGAUACGAAGAGGGGUUGCUGUGAUAUGUAAUGGCUGCUGUAAAAUGAAGGGAUGUUGAAGAGGAGAAGCUCUGAAGUGUUGGCGGGAGUUGAAGCAAGAGAAAGAGAUGAAGAGAAGGUAGUUAAGUAGAGGUUGUUAAUGGGCUGCUGAUGUGGAUGGCAAUUGGCUGAGGUGGCAAGGCAGUCAUGCUGAGUCAGAGAAGAUGGGUUAUGUUAGAAGUAUUUUUGACCGUUGGAUUUCUUUAGAGAUGGAUAGAUUAAACAGAGACCAUUGGAUGUCAUGUAAAGAAUGGGUCCCAUUGUAACAUUUAAUCUCAUCUGUUGCUUUCUGUUUGUAAUCA